GCUAAACGCGAAGAACCUUACCCAGACUUGACAUCCUUGGAAGGCCUCCGAAAGGAGACUGUGCCUUCGGGAACCAAGUGACAGGUGUUGCAUGGCCGUCGUCAGCUCGUGUCGUGAGAUGUUUGGUUAAGUCCAUCAACGAGCGCAACCCUUAUAGUUAGUUGUAAUUUUUCUAGCUAGACUCGCCCUGGCAACGAGGGGAGGAAGGGAGGGGAUGAUGUCAGGUCAGUACUUACCCUUACGUCGUGGGGCUAACAAACACGCUACAAUCGGCCGGUAACGAAAGGGCAGACCCAACCCGCGAGGGGGGAGCUAAUCCCCAUCAAAGCCGGUCUCAGUUCGGAUUGCAGGCUGAAACUCGCCUGCAUGAAGCCGGAAUCGCUAGUAACGGUAAGUCAGCACAUUACCGUGAAUACGUUCCCGGGUCUUGUACACACCG
rnacentral:rRNA from 1 species